rnacentral:ncRNA from 2 species
GACCCGAAAGAUGGUGAACUAUUCCUGAUCAGGUUGAAGAAAGGGGAAACCCUGAUGGAGGACCAAAGCAGUUCUGACGUGCAAAUCGAUUGUCAGAAUUGGGCAUAGGGGCGAAAGACCAAUCGAACCAUCUAGUAGCUGG